rnacentral:tRNA from 1 species
GCCUAGCUAGCUCAGUUGGUAGAGCAUGUGACUCUUGAUCUUGGGGUGGUAAGUUCGAGCCCUAUGUUGGACA